rnacentral:pre_miRNA from 1 species
CUCCGCUGCGCUCCCGGUCGAGGACGGCCCCGCCGCAGCGCUCCCCUUCGCGCUGGAACUACGCAGGCGGCGGCGGCGCCGUCCUCGACCGGGAGCGCCGCGGACA